rnacentral:lncRNA from 1 species
ACUGGAGUCCCUGCAGGCAGUCACAGAGCGCCUUAGUGCAGCUGAGCCUGUGUUCAGGUCUCUAGACUCUCAGCCUGGUGCUCUCAGUUCUCUACCAUGUUGCUUCUUUCAUUAAGCAGGGCCUUCCAUGUGAUGGGCACCAAGUAACUGUUUGAUUAUUACCAGAGGCAGCAUAACCAGAGGCAGCACAGCCUGGUCUCCCUCUGGGGUGUGAAAAACUGACACUACAUCCUUUCUUGAAAGCAGAAGGUGACAGAAAGGUAAUGAGAUUGUUGGUGCCUGUAGGAGGGAUGGGAGAAGCAGAGCUUCGAAGGAUGAAAAGGAGUACCAAAGAGUCUGGCUAGGCCUAUGGAGAUGACCUUUGCUGAUGUACAUUUUCCAGUUCCACACCGAGUGUCAACGACAGAGAUGGAGGCUAUUGAUCAAGAUCCUUGUGGACCCACCCACACAUUCUUCAUAGAAUCAUGGCUGACAAAGUGACAUGCUAUGUGUUUUCACAAUGACAUAGAGAUUGAAAAUGGAAAAGAAGACACCCAAAAAAGAUGACAAGGUAAAAGCAAGGUGACUUGGGUUGAAUUCACUUUUCCCCAUGGGAGAACUCAGAUUGUAUUGACAGUGGGAAGACCAGAUCAGCAACAUUGGGUUACAAGGAGAGCCCAGGUAAGCAUUGUUUAAACAUGAAAUCUGCAUAAAAAAGGCAAGCUGCUAUAAUCGCAGUAGCAA